UGGGGAAUUUUGCACAAUGGGGGAAACCCUGAUGCAGCGACGCCGCGUGAUUUAGAAGGCCUUCGGGUUGUAAAAAUCUUUUCUAUGGGAAGAAAAUGACAGUACCAUAGGAAUAAGGACCGGCUAAUUACGUGCCAGCAGCCGCGUUAAUACGUAAGGUCCGAGUGUUGUCCGGAAUCAUUGGGCGUAAAGGGUACGUAGGCGGGUAAGCAAGUUAGAAGUGAAAUCCUAUAGCUCAACUAUAGUAAGCUUUUAAAACUGCUCAUCUUGAGGUAUGGAAGGGAAAGUGGAAUUCCUAGUGUAGCGGUGAAAUGCGCAGAUAUUAGGAGGAAUACCGGUGGCGAAGGCGACUUUCUGGCCAUAACCUGACGCUGAGGUACGAAAGCGUGGGUAGCAAACAGG
rnacentral:rRNA from 1 species